rnacentral:rRNA from 1 species
UACGUAGGGGGCAAGCGUUGUCCGGAAUCAUUGGGCGUAAAGAGCGUGUAGGCGGCCAGAAAAGUCCGCUGUGAAAACUCGAGGCUCAACUUCGAGCUGUCGGUGGAAACUUUCUGGCUAGAGUCCGGAAGAGGAGAAUGGAAUUCCUGGUGUAGCGGUGAAAUGCGCAGAUAUCAGGAGGAACACCAAUGGCGAAGGCAGCUCGCUGGGACGUGACUGACGCUGAGACGCGAAAGCGUGGGGAGCAAACAGG